rnacentral:rRNA from 1 species
UACAGAGGUGGCAAGCGUUGUUCGGAAUUACUGGGCGUAAAGGGCGCGUAGGCGGCCAUCUAAGUCAGACGUGAAAUCCCCCGGCUUAACCUGGGAACUGCGUCUGAUACUGGAAGGCUUGAGUAUGGGAGAGGGAUGUAGAAUUCCAGGUGUAGCGGUGAAAUGCGUAGAUAUCUGGAGGAAUACCGGUGGCGAAGGCGGCAUCCUGGACCAUUACUGACGCUGAGGCGCGAAAUCUAGGGGAGCAAACGGG